rnacentral:lncRNA from 13 species
AUGGACAUCUCUGUGUGUAUAAAUCCGUUUUCUGCAUUUACUGUUCCAGGAUUCCCGGAUCCGCGGGGGUUUUCAGGCUCCGCACAGGCAGGCGGGCUGCUCUCUGCGCAUGUCUAUUUCUGCAAAGCGGCACCUCGCUCCCUCUCGCCGCGUUUGGGGGCUCCUCAGUUGCGCCGUGCUCUUGUUGGAUUUGGACGCAGGCUUCCCAUGCGUUUCGCACGCGUUCUCCCUGAGGAGGCUCUUCCGCUCACACGGCUCUUCUGUCCCCACGGGGAGGGAAUUCCUGUUGUAAAUCCCUUUCCAAAGCCGCAAAGCGCGCCCGUCGCAGCUCCCGCCGGGGCGCCGAGGAGCCCCGCCUCGCGCGGGAACAGCGCCGCCUGCCGUUGCGGUGGAGAUAUUGCUGCGCGGAGACGCCCCGCGGCUCACACGUGCGCAGCCGCGGCCGGAGGAGGCUGCCGCCGCCUGGGCGACCUCCCGGCAACCUGGCAGCUCCAGGGCUCAGUUCCUCGGCCCCUUCCGGCCCCUUCCGCUCCUCGGCGCCGAACGGUGAGGCCGAAGCGGCCGCCCUCAGCCACCGGCUCCCAGCACAGGAAGCCGGGGUGGGAGAAGAGGCCUCCUCGUCCUCUCUGCCCUUUGGGCGGCAGCAGGAGCAGCGGCCAUUUCCGCCACCGUCCUCACAGCCGCGGCCGCAGCCUCGCGGGGUCACUGUCAGGGUCGGGGCGCGGAAAGAAGCCCCGGAAGCUGCCGGAACAAGAGCGUUACCUUGGGGGGCUCACGUGGGGAAUCGGAGGUGGAGGGUCCUUACCGGCCGGGGGGUGGGGGGAAGCCGCGGCCUCGCAGGCGGGAGGAGCGAAGGGAAGACACGGACUUCCCCAUUUUCACUCCUGCAGGGGGGACCCCGGCCCGGGGAGGAGGCCCGGCUGCCGCGGGGGUCUCGGAGGGAGACUGCAGAUGGGGUGUAGGCGCCACCGUCAACGUGACGACAGGGCAGCCGUGCAGCUCCGGAGCAGCGCGGGGCGCAGAGCGCGGCGGUGGCACCGAGGAGGCCGCGGGUGGCAGCGGCGGACCCUCCUCCUCCCGGGGGUGGGCAGGGCCGCACUGCGGGGGCGACCGCUCGGGGCUGGGCAACUUCCGGGCCGAUUCAGUCUCAGGCCACAUCCUUGGCAAACGCGGGACACACGCGGUGCUCACGCCUCCCGGAUUCCUGCGCGGAAACCCCACCCACAGGGCGACGGUGUUGGGAGCUGA